rnacentral:ncRNA from 1 species
AAAAAGACAGUGAUGGAAACUAGUAACUGUCGCAAGUAGUUUCAGGGAGGUCGGGGUAGUAACUGGAACCCCAACCACUACUUCAGCAGCGAAUUUCACUUCCGGAGUCGGUACUUGUACCCGGUUGAUUACCGUUACCAAUCAAAAAAGUGUUUGGCAAUUGUCAAGAACUAGGGUGGUACCGCGAAGCCUCGUCCCUUUU